rnacentral:rRNA from 1 species
GACAGAGGGUGCAAACGUUGUUCGGAAUUACUGGGCGUAAAGCGCGUGUAGGCGGCCCUGCAAGUCGGGUGUGAAAUCCCACGGCUCAACCGUGGAAGUGCAUUCGAAACUGCAGGGCUAGAGUCCUGGAGAGGAAGGUGGAAUGCUUGGUGUAGAGGUGAAAUUCGUAGAUAUCGGAAGGAACACCGGUGGCGAAAGCGGCGCGCUGGACCUCUACUGACGCUGAGGCGCGAAAGCCAGGGGAGCAAACGGG